rnacentral:tRNA from 5 species
GGAGAGGUGGCCGAGCGGCUUAAGGCGCACGCUUGGAAAGCGUGUGUACGUUAAUAGCGUACCGAGGGUUCGAAUCCCUCUCUCUCCGCCA